CCGGCGGCGUGCCUAACACAUGCAAGUCGAACGAGAAAGUGGAGCAAUCCAUGAGUAAAGUGGCGCACGGGUGAGUAACACGUGACUAACCUACCUUGAAGUGGGGGAUAACCUCGGGAAACCGGGGCUAAUACCGCAUAAUCCCGAGAGGGCAAAGGAGCAAUUCGCUUUUAGAGGGGGUCGCGGCUGAUUAGUUAGUUGGUAGGGUAACGGCCUACCAAGACGAUGAUCAGUAUCCGGCCUGAGAGGGCGCACGGACACACUGGAACUGAAACACGGUCCAGACUCCUACGGGAGGCAGCAGUGGGGAAUUUUGCGCAAUGGGGGAAACCCUGACGCAGCAACGCCGCGUGGAGGAUGAAGUCCCUUGGGACGUAAACUCCUUUCGAUCGGGACGAUUAUGACGGUACCGGAAGAAGAAGCCCCGGCUAACUUCGUGCCAGCAGCCGCGGUAAUACGAGGGGGGCGAGCGUUGUUCGGAAUUAUUGGGCGUAAAGGGCGCGUUNGCGGUGCGGUAAGUUUGUGGUGAA
rnacentral:rRNA from 1 species